rnacentral:lncRNA from 1 species
AUGAACUCUGAAGGAGGAAGCCACGAUGUCAGCUGUCUGUUCCCUUUGUCAUCACUGCUAGACACUAUUUGCUGAUUUAUUUGUUCAAUGCUGGUCUCCCACACUAGACCAUGAGCAGGAAGGAGAGGCAGCAUGCAACUGUGCUCGUUGUCUACACAGGGCCUAGCACUGGGCCUGGGCCAGGGCAGGCACCUGGGAGGGCCUUGGUUUCUGAGGCUGAGAGAGGAUAAGCUAAGCAAGGGGCAGAACAGGACACCAACCAUCUCCAGACCCCAGUACAACACAGAUGGCAGGCCAAAGAGGGACUGUGUCGUCUGAUUCAAGAGUACAGACUACACAGCCAGAAUAAUCGGGGCCUGGCUUGGACUCUCUUUAAAUAUUCAUUCCUCAUCUGUAAAAUGAGCAUAUGAGUCCCACUUCACCAGACUGUAGGACAUACGUGAAGGACUCUGCAGUGUCUGGAACAUAUUUAUGGCCCCUGAAAUAAACAGUUAUUGAUGACAGAGAUGAAAAGAAGAAGAUCCAAUGGAGUAAUCUUCAAGGCCUGCUUCAAGUCUUGCCUUGAUUGCUGCAAGAGAGAAGGUCACCUAUCUCCCCAGGUAGCCUCUCUCACCCUGACAAUGUAUCUUCACAGUACAGCCAUCCAGUGUCAGACUCAUGAACUUCAGAAGCAGAAGCCUGAAGAUGAGCUUUGGAGUCACUGUCACAGCAACAAGCCAACUGGCAUGCAGAAAUGAAGAGACUCACUCAAAUGAGGGACCUAAAUCCCUUCUAUGGUCAAUGAGAAACAGAGGCCCAUGAAAGGGAAAGGCCAGAUACACCCUCACACAAGGAAGUGGUGGCAGAGCCAGGCCCAGACAGCAGAGAUCUCAAAGGUCCCCAUUUUCAAUGUUGUG